rnacentral:rRNA from 1 species
GACGAACGCUGGCGGCGUGCUUAACACAUGCAAGUCGAACGGAAAGGCCCUGCUUUUGUGGGGUGCUCGAGUGGCGAACGGGUGAGUAACACGUGAGUAACCUGCCCUUGACUUUGGGAUAACUUCAGGGAACUGGGGCUAAUACCGGAUAGGAGCUCCUGCUGCAUGGGGGGGGUUGGAAAGUUUCGGCGGUUGGGGAUGGACUCGCGGCUUAUCAGCUUGUUGGUGGGGUAGUGGCUUACCAAGGCUUUGAAGGGUAGCCGGCCUGAGAGGGUGACCGGCCACAUGGGGACUGAGAGACGGCCCAGAGUCCUACGGGAGGCAGCAGUGGGGAAUAUUGCACAAUGGGCGGGAGCCUGAGGCAGCAACGCCGCGUGCGGGAUGACGGCCUUCGGGUGGGAAACCGCUUUCGCCUGUGACGAAGCGGGAGUGACGGUAAUGGGUAAAGAAGCACCGGCUAACUACGUG